rnacentral:rRNA from 1 species
CCUACGGGUGGCAGCAGUGAGGAAUAUUGGUCAAUGGACGAGAGUCUGAACCAGCAAAGUAGCGUGAAGGAUGACUGCCUUAUGGGUUGUAAACUUCUUUUAUAUGGGAAUAAAAUGUUCCACGUGUGGGAUUUUGUAUGUACCAUAUGAAUAAGGAUCGGCUAACUCCGUGCCAGCAGCCGCGGUAAUACGGAGGGUCCGAGCGUUAUCCGGAUUUAGUGGGUUUAAAGGGAGCGUAGGUGGAUUAUUAAGUCAGAUGUGAAAGUUUGCGGCUCAACCGUAAAAUUGCAGUUGAAACUGGCAGUCUAGAGUAUGGUAGAGGUGGGCGGAAUUCUUGGUGUAGCGGUGAAAUGCUUAGAUAUCAAGAAGAACACCGAUUGCGAAGGCAGCCCACUAGAAUACAACUGACACUGAGGCGCGAAAGUGUGGGUAGCAAACAGGAUUAGAUACCCCAGUAGUC